rnacentral:lncRNA from 1 species
UGCAUAUUCUUCUCCUCACAAGCACGUCUUGUCCCCGCGCCCAAUGUCUUUCAUAGACGGCGGAAAGUGAAAUUUGUGCAAUGUCUGUAGGAGGCUGAAGAAAGGCCCUUUGUGUGCCCCCCGCGCGGGCGCUGGGCAGCCUCCAGCAGCACCCUCCGCCGCCCCGCGCCUCCCGGCCGCCGGCCUCAAUGCGACGCUUGUCCGGACACCGGGAUCCGCUCUUAAAGCCGGAGCCGGGCUCCCCCGGUUAGUGCCACCGGUGGCCCCGGCGAGGCGGGCGCGGCUCCGGGGGGUUCCCCCCUGGCUGCCAUCCCGGGAUGUUUCUGUACUGGAAGAAGCGGGGUGCCUACGAGCUGGAGGCUUUGCCCCCCGGGCUGGCGGGGCUGCAGUAUGGGGCAGUGGAGCGCUUCUCCUGGAGCUCCAGCCUGGACAUCAGCGAGGAGCUUGGGGCCGAGCCGUGCCCACCGGAGGAACCAGUGCUGCGCUGCCAGAACCCCGACUGCUCGGGCGAGAGGAGGGCGGCCAAGGUGGGUGCUGUGGGCUGGUGGGUAGCACCGAGCAGCACCGAAUGGUGUUGGUCUUAUGGAUGCAAAGGGGCAGCGGGUGGCUGUGCCCAACCCCAAGCCCCCUGGCAUGGCCAAUGUGCCCCCCGGCCUGUUUCUUGUGGCUGGAGUGGUUGGGGCUAAUCCGCUCCAGCCCGUCUGUUCCACCACUCACUAAUGUGAUGCCAGAGUGGAUUGAGGGUCCCUUCUCUCCCCCCGCGCUGGCCGGAUGCGGGGCCAGGCUGGAUCCGCACGCCGGCUCCCACUGAGCCCCAGUGUUCCUGUUCUGCGGGCGGUGUCUUUCUGGCACAGCAGCAGCCCAGCUGUGCCGGGAGGUGUGCCGCGGCGCUUUGUGUGCACGGCUGGGGUGGCAGAGCCGGUGCUGGUGGGGCACACGUGGCACUGGGCUGUGGCUGCCUCGGGGCACAGCAGGACCACCCCACGACUGUUAUCAGAGACCCCCUGACGGUGACCAGAAGGUAGCGUGGGGCGAGGGGUCCUGGCUGGGGUGGGGGCUUGUCCUGCAUCGCAUCCCCUUCACUAUGAAGCCGCUGCUGAAGGUCCUGGGAGUGCCCACCAAGCAAAUGGUCACUGCCUGGAGGCCAUGGCCACGCUCUCCUUUCUGCAGGUGCCACAAUGGCCACGAUGGUGACGGGCUGGGGCAC